AUCCGUGGGUAACCUGCCUGUAAKACUGGGAUAACUCCGGGAAACCGGGGCUAAUACCGGAUGCUUGAUUGAACCGCAUGGUUCAAUUAUAAAAGGUGGCUUUUAGCUACCACUUACAGAUGGACCCGCGGCGCAUUAGCUAGUUGGUGAGGUAACGGCUCACCAAGGCAACGAUGCGUAGCCAACCUGAAAGGGUGAUCGGCCRAMCUGGGGGCWGCAAACGCGG
rnacentral:rRNA from 1 species